UACGAGGAGGUCGCUAAGCGUUGUCCGGAAUUAUUGGGCGUAAAGAGCUCGUAGGCGGUUCGUCACGUCGGCUGUGAAAUCCCUCGGCUUAACCGGGGAACUGCGUCCGAUACUGGUUGGCUUGAGUUUGGGAGAGGGAUGCGGAAUUCCAGGUGUAGCGGUGAAAUGCGUAGAUAUCUGGAGGAACACCGGUGGCGAAGGCGGCAUCCUGGACCAAUACUGACGCUGAGGAGCGAAAGCCAGGGGAGCAAAGCGGG
rnacentral:rRNA from 1 species